GUCCAACCGGUGGGCCCAUUUAUUUACAUUUUCGCUAGCAUAACAUGUGAUACAGGUCCAUCCAAUAAACGAGGUUCAUUUAUCUGCAAAAAUGCGUCAAGCCACCCACUAUAAUUAAUAUCCGUAGACCGUGGGGAUGUUUUUUCAUUUGCUAGUGACAUCAUGCAGCUCGGGGGAUUGAUACAUGCCACAUUAGAAACCGAAACAUCUCUGCCAGCAAAAAUCUGAUUGGCGCUCACCACAUGUUAUGCUACUUUUCGCGAAAACAAAAACAUCACAUGUAAACAAUAACAAUGAGCGGCCCACCGGUAGGACGUCUCGUAAAAUAGCUUCUUAGCCGUCCCAAGUGACACCCCAAAGAAAAAAAAAGCAUCAGCGGCGGAUUCUACGUCUUGCCGGUGUUGUGGGUCAAAGCGUUGGACCUGUUGCUGGAUCGGUUGGUGGCCUUAGUACGGUGAUGGCCGUUAGCGGAUCGGCCCAGUACAUCAGUACACACCUUGCUAGUUCUUGAGGCCGACACAUUUCUGCAUACCAAUAUUGAUCUUUCGACGUUCACUGGACCUCACCUUGAUGGACAGCACAACCAAGAAGCAGUGCAAAGAUAUGCAGCCGGUGGCCGCGAGAAAAUAGUACACAUUACGGGGUCCAAGUGCUUCGAACGAUUAACGGUACCUUAUCGAGAAGGUCUUCCAGCAGCGGUCGGAUUGCUAUCGUAACACAGAGCGAACUUCGUUGAAUGUCGGAUGGUUUCGAAAUGCACCUGCUGGACAUCCGGCAGCGAACAUGGUCGAAUGCCUGAGAUCCUUGUCCUACAAGCUAUUACUGGGACAAUCGUAUAGUUCGUGCUGCGUUGCAACUUCAAUGCCGAAAAAUCGACGACUGCUGAAGUUGACCCGAGAUCUAUCGUUCCUGUUGGGCCGGCCGCUGCAAUACAAAAUAGUUGAUCUCACCUCAUCGGAGACCAAGGUCACUAAAUCAUUUCUGCAAAAUAGAAUCAAUCCCAACCGUGGGCUGGAACGGCAAGGACGACGCCUUCGAUUACCAGAAAUCUUUCGAAGCGGGAGAAACCCGCCCCAAAAACGUAACUUUACCAGCAUAUGCAACACCAGGCGCAGAUUGUGGCCCAACUGCAGGCCCAAUCACAGCAUUUCCAGCAGUUGAUAAGCACCAGCAGCCGCAACACCAGGAAGGUCAUCUAACCAAGGAGGAAAUCGAGCGGCUCCUGUAGUCCCGGCUCAAUAUAUAAAACUCUCUCAUCAUCGUUUCUAUCUUCUAAGAUCGUGUAUAUGGCAGGAUGAAGGAAUAAAGCACCGUUCAAUUUUCUUCCUAAUGUAAUUAAUUUUGUCAAAACAACACCAUAACCCAUUGAGGGCCAAUUUCUUCACCUCGGCUUAACCGGUAAGCCAGGUUUAUCCAAAUAAUUAAACCUGGUUUAACGCUUAAGUAAUCGACCCUAAAUAAGUUUAUCUUGUUAGUACUCUUGAUAAAGCUCCUGGAGCUUCUUGGAAAUUCCUCUACAAGUUCCUCGGGAAUUCCUUUAAGACAUCCUCAGUUAAUCCUCCAAGAGUUCCUCAGAAAUUCUCCCAGAAGUUUCUCAGGAAUUCCACCAUGAGUUUCUUGGGAAUUCAUCUAGUAGUUCCUCGGGAAUUCAUUCUACAGUUCCGAAGGAAUUUAUCCGGGAAUUCCUUCAGAAGUUCCUCGGGAAUUCCUUCAGGAGUUCCUCAAAAAUUCUUCCAGAUUCCUUGAGAAUUCCUCCCAAAAAAUUCCUUAAUGUAUUCCUCGGGAAUUUCUACUGGAGUUUUUGGGAUUUCUUCAGGAGUUACUCGGGGGAUCUUCCGGAGUUCAUCGGGAAUUUCUGCUCAAGUUCCUCGGGAAUUUCUCCAGAAGUUCCUCGAGAAUUCCUUCAAGGAGUUUCUCGGGAAUUCCUUUGGAGCUCCUUGGAAAUUCCUCUAGAAGUUCCUCGGGUAUUCCUUUCCUCCAAGAGUUCCUCGAAAAUUACCUCAGAAGUUCUUUCCUUUAGGUGUUCCUUGAGAUUUUUUUUAAAGAGUUCCUCGGGAGAUCCUCCAGGAGUUCCUCGAAAAUUCUUCCAGGAGUUCCUCGGAAAAUUCUACAUGAAUUCCUCGGAAUUUUUCUCCAGGAGUUUUCCAACAACUUUUUCAGAAAUUUCCCAGAAAUUCUUUGAGAAUUCCUCUAUGGGAUCCUCUAGAAUUAUAGGAGCUGCUAGAAAAUUCCUUGGAAAAUUGUUCCAUGUAUUCCUCGGAAUUUUUAAAGAAGUUCCUCAUGGAGUUCAUCGGAUUUUUUUGCAGGAGUUAUUUGGGUAUUUCUCUAGAAGUUCCUCAAAAAUUCGUCAAUGGAUUGUUUAUAAUUCUCAAAGGAGUUUUUUGGGAAUUUCUCUAGGAACUCCUUGGAAAUUUUUCCAGAAGUUCAUCGA